AGAAGAAUGAAGGUCGACCAAGUAGGCCAUUUUCAUAAGACUCAACACUACAUCUACCUCCUUAAAAGUGACUGACAAUCAACAUGCAGGUAUUUUCAACACUACACAAGCUACACUAUUCCCUGGCUUGGACGUGUGAUGAACUCAGUACCUGUCCAGAUUGGAUUCAGAUCUAUCAGCAGCCCACAGGGAUCUCAAGUGUCUUUAACUAAAAGAAAUACACACUGAAAAGGUGCAAGUGCAAUUUAUUGGCAACUGUUUUCUUUAACCAAAAUGCUUUUCUUCUAAUGCCCCCUGGUGGCUAUGAUGAGUAUCAAGAUUAUGUAGAAGCACUAAGAAAUCUGUUCAGUUACUGGGUGAAUCUCACAAAACUUCAUAUAUGUAGAAACACAAGAUAGUUUGAAAGUUACUACAGAGAUUAAAGGAACAGUUUGCGAAGAAAUAUUAAUGCAAUUUUUACUCACUUUCAUGUUGUUCCAAAUCCAAAUGCUGUUUUUAUUUCCAUGGAACACAGAGCUGUUUUUGGUACAACAAAGAAUGCCUAAAAAGGACAAAAAAGAGACCAUAAACACAUUAUACCUUAGUGUAUAAGCACACAAAAGAACACGCAUAUAAAGCUCACUUGUCCAGGUCACAUUUCAUCUUAAAAUAAAUAAAUAUAAAUACACUGAAAGAACAUUAAGAAAAUGAAGCCUAUUUUUGACCAUUGUAUUGUGACAUUGUCUCAUCUAAUACAGUAAAUCGAAUUACA
ensembl:lncRNA